rnacentral:rRNA from 1 species
GUGAAUCCACUAAUUGUUAUUGCUUCUGUUAUUGCUGCUGGAUUGGCCGUAGGGCUUGCUUCUAUUGGACCUGGAGUUGGUCAAGGUACUGCUGCAGGAUAAGCUGUAGAAGGUAUUGUGAGACAGCCAGAAGCAGAAGGUAAAAUACUAGGUACUUUAUUGCAUACUCUAGCUUUUAUGGAAGCUUUAACAAUUUGCGAACUGAUGAGGACAUCAAUACAAUUAUUACACCCACAGGCCCUGCUGCUAUACAUACUGGACCAAUUACUAGAGCUCGCGCACGCCAAUUAA